GACGAACGCUGGCGGCGUGCCUAAUACAUGCAAGUAGAACGCUGAAGGAGGAGCUUGCUUCUCUGGAUGAGUUGCGAACGGGUGAGUAACGCGUAGGUAACCUGCCUGGUAGCGGGGGAUAACUAUUGGAAACGAUAGCUAAUACCGCAUAAGAGUAGAUGUUGCAUGACAUUUGCUUAAAAGGUGCAAUUGCCUCACUACCAGAUGGACCUGCGUUGUAUUAGCUAGUUGGUGGGGUAACGGCUUACCAAGGCGACGAUACAUAGCCGACCUGAGAGGGUGAUCGGCCACACUGGGACUGAGACACGGCCCAGACUCCUACGGGAGGCAGCAGUAGGGAAUCUUCGGCAAUGGACGGAAGUCUGACCGAGCAACGCCGCGUGAGUGAAGAAGGUUUUCGGAUCGUAAAGCUCUGUUGUAAGAGAAGAACGAGUGUGAGAGUGGAAAGUUCACACUGUGACGGUAUCUUACCAGAAAGGGACGGCUAACUACGU
rnacentral:rRNA from 1 species